UCCAGACUCCUACGGGAGGCAGCAGUGGGGGAUAUUGCACAAUGGGGGGAACCCUGAUGCAGCGACGCCGCGUGGGUGAAGGAGCGUUUCGGCGCGUAAAGCCCUAUCGGCAGGGAAGAAGGAGGACGGUACCUGACUAAGAAGCCCCGGCUAACUACGUGCCAGCAGCCGCGGUAAUACGUAGGGGGCAAGCGUUAUCCGGAUUUACUGGGUGUAAAGGGGGCGCAGACGGCAGCGCAAGCCAGGAGUGAAAGCCCGGGGCCCAACCCCGGGACUGCGCUUGGAACUGCGCGGCUGGAGUGCAGGAGGGGCAGGCGGAAUUCCUGGUGUAGCGGUGAAAUGCGUAGAUAUCAGGAGGAACACCGGUGGCGAAGGCGGCCUGCUGGACUGCGACUGACGUUGAGGCCCGAAAGCGUGGGGAGCAAACAGGAUUAGAUACCCGUGUAUG
rnacentral:rRNA from 1 species